AAGCGCUUGUGACCAGACUUGUGCCCGGCGGAUCAACCAGCGUUCUCGCUGGUGCACUCCUCCGGGCUCAGGCCAGCAUCGGUUCAGGUGGCGGGAUAAAGGCCUUGGGAAUGUAGCUUCUUUCGGGGAGUGUUAUAGCCCUCGGUGCAAUGCCGCCUACCUAGACCGAGGACCGCGCUUCGGCUAGGAUGCUGGCGUAAUGGUUGUAAGCGA
rnacentral:rRNA from 1 species